AACGAACGCUGGCGGCAUGCCUAACACAUGCAAGUCGAACGAAGGCUUCGGCCUUAGUGGCGCACGGGUGCGUAACGCGUGGGAAUCUGCCCUUUGGUUCGGAAUAACAGCUGGAAACGGCUGCUAAUACCGGAUGAUGACGAAAGUCCAAAGAUUUAUCGCCAGAGGAUGAGCCCGCGUUGGAUUAGGUAGUUGGUGGGGUAAAGGCCUACCAAGCCGACGAUCCAUAGCUGGUCUGAGAGGAUGAUCAGCCACACUGGGACUGAGACACGGCCCAGACUCCUACGGGAGGCAGCAGUGGGGAAUAUUGGACAAUGGGCGCAAGCCUGAUCCAGCAAUGCCGCGUGAGUGAUGAAGGCCCUAGGGUUGUAAAGCUCUUUUACCCGGGAAGAUAAUGACUGUACCGGGAGAAUAAGCCCCGGCUAACUCCGU
rnacentral:rRNA from 1 species